CAGUAGCCGCGGGAACACGUAGGGUGCAAGCGUUAAUCGGAAUUACUGGGCGUAAAGCGUGCGCAGGCGGUUUGUUAAGACAGAUGUGAAAUCCCCGGGCUCAACCUGGGAACUGCGUUUGUGACUGGCAAGCUAGAGUAUGGCAGAGGGGGGUGGAAUUCCGCGUGUAGCAGUGAAAUGCGUAGAUAUGCGGAGGAACACCGAUGGCGAAGGCAGCCCCCUGGGCCAAUACUGACGCUCAUGCACGAAAGCGUGGGGAGCAAACAGGAUUAGAGACCCGCGUAGUCCCUGUCUCUUAUAC
rnacentral:rRNA from 1 species